CAAAAAAAAACGAAUUGAUCUCUCUAAUGCCGGCCAUAGACCACACAAGUAAACUGCACAAGUCUAGCGCUGCACAGUGCGUUUGUGUAGUAUAUGGGGGUGUUUGUGCUACUUGUGCAGCGAACUGAGCAAUAUCAAAACGAUUUUCAUAUUUUUACACAAGUCUGAAUACUGCGCAGUGAAUUUGCGUAGUAUAUGGCGAAAUUAGCUCAGUUUUGUUUCAGUUUUGUGAAGUUAACAUCAAACCAAAAAAGGAAACAAGGCAUUUAUUUUAAUUAUGAGUGAUGACAAACAGUUUUGGACCGAGUUCCUUGAACUUUAUAAAGAAUCACCUUCAUUAUGGCGAAUAAAAAGCAAAGAAUAUAGCAACAGAAUAAUGAAAGCUGAAGCAUACGAAAAAUUAGUUUUAAAAUUAAAAGAAAAAUAUCCCGACGCAAACAGAGAUAUGGUGGUUAAAAAAUAAAUACAAAUAGGACAACAUACAGAAAAGAAUUCAAGAAAGUGCAAAGAAGCGAAAAGUCUGGAGCUGGAUUUGAGGAUAUUUAUGAGCCAAAAUUAUGGUUCUAUAAUAUUCUAAAUUUUCUGGAGGAUCAAGAAGAAAGUGCACCUAGCACAUUAGGGUGUGCCAUUCUGAAGCAACCUUUUUUUUCAACUGAAAAACAGGCUCAAAACUUUCGAAAAUGUGUAAAAAAAAGUCACUCAAAAGAUGAGCUCCUAAUAUUAAUAUUAAGAGGUGCCUAUUUCAAAUUUUCUGUUUUCCAUAUAAAUUACAUAGAAAAAAAAUAAUUUUUUUUGUGGUGGUAAUUGUGCGGGAGUUUUAUAUGUUCCCCGAUGGCUGCCAGUAGGGUUGGUAAACUCGAUUCCGAUUCUACUCGAGAAUCGAGUUUUCUCGUAAAAUAAUCGAUUUUUCGAAUGUCAAGAACCGAUUCUUAAUCGACUUCUUCUACUGAAGGUCGAUUCCGAAAAAUCGAUUAUUUUACGAGAAAACUCGAUUUUCGAGUAGAAUCGGAAUCGAGUUUAUCAACCCUACUGGCAGCCAUCGGGGCACAUAUAAAACCUCCGCACAAUAACCACCACAAAAAAAAAAUGAUUUUUUUUCCAUGUAAUUUAUAUGGAAAACAGAAAAUUUGAAAUAGGCACCUCUUAAUAUUAAUAUUAAGAGCUCAUCUUUUGAGUGACUUUUUUUUACACAUUUUCGAAAGUUUUGAGCCUGUUUUUCAGUUGAAAAAAAGGUUGCCUCAGAAUGACACACCCUAUAGCACAUGGAAUAUGAUAGUUUAGAAGAGACUUCACCAAAAACAUCAACAACACAACAUAGGCUAAAAAAACGUAAAAUUACCGAGGAAGAUAAUUUAAUUAAAAUAGCGUGCGAAUACCUGAAUUCACAAAAUAACAGUAACCAACAAAACAACAAUGACUCACAUGAUGUGGUUGCCACAUCUUGGGGUGCGCAAUUAAAAGAGAUGGAGCCUUAACAAAAAAUAUUGGCGCGUAAAUUAAUAUCGGAUGUUUUGUUUCAAGGAUGUGUUGGAAAUUUGAAUAAUUCGCACAUACAGGAAUUAUAGCCCUGACAGACGAGCAAAAUUAAUGCGCCUUAAGCAACGCUAAUGCGAAUUAAAAUUUUAUGGUGACAGACGGCUGACUUGUGCAUUUAGACAGCUGAUAGUGAAAUUUGUUUCUUUAUUAAAAAAAAAUGAAAUAAAAAUGAAUAAGAUAAAUUAUUAAAAGAAAUUGUGGUAAUUUUGGAAAAUCAAUAUAAAUUUAACGAAAAAAUUCGUUUAUUAUUAUCUACGUUAAAAGAUAAUAGAGUGAAAUUAAUAGCAAUAAUUGAUUGUAAUGCGGAAAAAGCGUGCAAAAAAGUUAAGAAUAUUGGAAAAAUGGAUAGCAAAAGUGCGACAUCUGUCAAUAAAUAGCAAAAAUAGGCCAUUUUUGAGCAGUGUUGCCUACUCAAAUUUAGUAAAUUCAACCAAAUGCACGGAAUUCUUGUGCAUUACAAACUUGCAUUAAUAUGGGUCAAAUGCGCAAAUAAAUGUAAAUUAAGCCCGCUAAUGCAUGUUAGCGCUGUCGUCUGUCAGGGUUAUUAUUCAACAUAUUUCAAUCCAGACCAACAACAGCAAUUUCUUACGUAUCAACUCCAUCGCCAGUAGAGCUUAUAAAUGCUCUAUAUGACCCAACAACAUAUAAUUCAAAGGAAUCAAUACAGGGAUUCUACGCGAAUUUUCAAUAAAUUUUUUUUUUUUUAUACUACUGGAAUUAAAGUGAAUUUUUUAUGUUUUGUUAUUACCAAAUACUAGAGAAAAAUAAAUAAAAAAAAGAAUUAUUUGUUUUUUGUAAAUCCAGUCGUUUAUAUUAUAUAAUUCUGGUUGUACAAAUAACGACCCAAUUUAUUGGGGAAUACAAACCACUGAUGGUAUGAACUGACACUCGCGCAAAUGUUUAAAAGGAAAAAGUAGUUGAGUAUUUGAAAAGCACAAUUUAUUUAAAAUUAUCUUUUGUUUGCGGUACAAUGUUUUGCUUAAUAAUAUAUCGCGCCGAAUAGAAAUAGGAUGUGGAACGAUGACGCUCGAAGCCAAAGUGGGAAUUCCGCGGCGCAGUGUGGAGUCGAAAAAAAGCGUUUGUGGAUGAGCGGCUUGUACAGCACGAAUAGUAAAUGACGAAUGCUGAUUUGCGACGAGUGUAUGGCGAAAGUGUAGAUCGAAAAGUGUCCGCUUCUCCGUCGCUUUUGCUUUUGUUGGUUGGGUUGGUGCGAGUGUGGUGUGUUAUAUUGAUGUUGUUGUGUAGUGGCAUCCUGUGGUGAAUUGCGCUGUAGCAUUAGGAUGCGCCAAUUUCACCGGGUAGAGGGGGUGGAUGCUUAACUCAUUUAAACACUGGUGUUUGGUUAAAAAUUAUUUUUAGUUGGUUGAAUCAUUGACAUUUUUGUUUGUGAGUUUUUCAUAUAUAUUGUUUUGCCAUGAAACAGAUCCUUCAGAAUUAAAGUAUUUACAAAAUUGGCUUCUUAUAUCUUUUGCAUUAGUUGCAUGAUUUCUUAUAACAGUACGAUUUACUGGUGCUAGGACUUCUGUUUCUGUUGUACCUGCAAGAUUACUGUUGGCGUAUACUUGGUCAUUUUUUUUUUCUUAAAAAAUUAUGUAAGUGGCAACAAGUGAGGACUAUGAUUGUUGUUUUUUCGGGUGACAAAUUAAUAGUUUUUAACAAAAUUCUGAAUCUUGAUGAAAGAAUUCCAAACGUAUUUUCAACUACGCCCCGCGCACGUGACAGUCGGCAAUUCAAUAUUAUUUCAUCUUUUAUCAUCGAAGUAUGGCUGAACGGCUUCAUUAUAUUUCCAGUUAAAGGGAACGCGUCAUCUGCGACAAAAACAUAGGGUAAUGCAGUAUCGCAACCUGGAGGACACUCUUUAGACGGUAUUUUGAGCUCGUUGUUCUUCAAACUCAUAAAAAAAGUGAAUCACUAAAAAUUCCAGCAUCUGAAGCGCGUCCGUUUUUGCCAACAUCUACCAUUAAAAACUCGUAAUUUGCAUUUACAACAGCCAUUAAAACUAUUAAAAAGAAUUUUUUAAAAUUGAAGUAGAAAGAUCCGUUCCAGGGGGUUUUGUAAUAGCAACAUGUUUGCCAUCCAUCGCCCCGAUACAGUUAGGAAAAUUCCAUCGUUGGUAAAACGCAUUAGCUUCCUUUUUCCAAUCUUCUUCACUUGAUGGCAACUGCAAAAAUGACAAACGAUAAUUAUAUUUAGGUGUCAACACGUGAAGUCUUCUGACUAAUCACCGCAAUGUUGGUUUUCAGGACUUCAAUUAUGGCUUCACAAGUUUCGAACACUAUUCCACCUAUAGUUUGCGGAGCAAUGGCUGUUAGAAAUUUUAAGUCCUCAAAAUUGUUGCCACUUGCCAGAAACCGCAACGUCAAGGCCAAACGAUGAUGCACUGGAAUCGCUUUUCUCAUAAUUGUAUAAUUUUUUUUAUUAGUGGUGCCACUUUUGCCAACAAUUCAUCAAAAGUUUCUUUGCUCAUUCUUACAUAAUUUUUAAAAUCACCUUAAAAGGUCGAAUAUUUUCAAACUUAAAGCUAAAAUAAAAUAAAUAAGUAAUAUUAUUUCGCAAAAAUGGUUAAUAACGACACUAAUCAAAAUACACCUGCAGCAGCUACACGCUCAAAACAGGUUGCUAAAUUUAUAUCAGAAAGUGACAGUUUUUUAAGAUACUGCACUAGAUUUGCAUCUUUACCGAUUCACGAAAACUCGGAAUCGUUACUAGAAAUAAAAAAUCAAAAUCUAAAAAAAUUUUUGGACUCGCCUCCAAGCGGCUCACGACGCCAUUGUAUAUUCUGACGAUUCAGAUCUACCACAAAAUUUUAAAUUAUCUGCUAACGAUAUUUACGAAAACUGCUUGGACCAAUAUGAAGAAACGAAAGCUAUGAUCUCCGAUCAAUUAAAGCUCAUCAAAGCAAUUGCACCUACUCCCCACUGUAGAGUAGAGCUGCCACAAAUAGACAAUCAAGAGGCAAGUUCAGGCAUCCAACUCGAAGUGCCUGCAUGUGAUACAGAAACGUUUUACGGAGGUUAUGAAGAAUGGCCGUCCUUCCGGGACAUGUUCACAGCCGUUUUCAUCAACCAUCCACAACUACCAAAGGCGCAAAAACUGUAUCACCUCCGAUACAAAACAAAAGGUCAAGCAGGCGAAAUAGUGAAACAGUUCGCAUUAAAUGACGAUAAUUUCAAUUUGGCUUGGGAAGCUCUAAAAGCGAGAUUUGAAAACGAAAGAAUACUGGUCGAUAAGCAAGUAACGACACUAUUAAACUUGCCUAAAAUUAAGAAAGAAACAAGUGUAGAAUUGAUUAAACUAGAAUCCACUGUUUUUAUGUCGGUUCUAUCGACACUUAAUAUCCCCACAGACAGCUGGGAUCCUAUUCUGGUAAACAUUUGCAACGCCGCAUUAUCAGAAAAGUCCUUACUUCUAUGGGAGCAAUAGCUGUCAUCACGAAAAAAGUGCCCAACGUGGCAACAAAUGAAAGAUUUUCUCACUACCCAAUAUGAAAUUGCGGAAAGGUUAGAAGAAAAAAUAAACAAAAUGGACCCCAAGUUAGUAACAAAAACAAUUCAAACAAAAAAUUUUACAAAACGCAAUCAUUCACAUCCGAACGGAAAAAACAAACGUCAUGCGAACUAUGCACAAGAGGACAUAAACUUAAAACUUGCGAGAAGUUUAAAAAGUUUAACAUAAAUGAAAGGAACAACUUUGUCAGGUCAAAAAGACUCUGUACAAACUGCUUGUCCCACUCACACAAUCUUAAUAAUUGCAAAAGCAAAUUUAACUGCUUAUAUUGUCACAAUUCAAUGCUUCAUUACAGCAGAUAUCACAUCUCUACCCAAAAAAGGGCUUAUAAAUCAAGAACCUCGGGUUUAAUUGCAAACGCAAAUCCCGAAAAUCAAAAUUCUAAAAAUAGCCAAAAGGCACCAUGUUGCUCAAAGGCACAAAAAGUUCAAACGCUGCACAGCGAAGCACAAAGUGGUCUAGUUACAGAACCAGUUUCCACUAGACCAACUCAGCUUGAGAGCAAAAACUUUAAUUAACAAUUAAGUAAAUCUCAAAAGUUAAAGAAACUUCCAUUAGCAAACGAAACUAUAAAAGAUCAGUAUUGUGAGCACUUCUUUAAAGCCACAACUACUCGAUCAAAUAAUGGCCGGUACGUCGUACGACUACCACUAGAGCCACAAUUUUCCAAUACUCCACAAAUUGGUAUAAAAAACAAAGUCAGAGUUACCUCUGACAGUCCCUAUAUUAAAAACACAUAACAAUUUUCGGCCCCGCAGGAUGGCUUUCGCCAAUGAUGAAAAAAAAAAUCCUAGAGCGGUGGCGGGCUACUAAACGACAAUUAGUGCAUAAGCAUUUAAACAUAAAAUAUAACAAAAGUGUCUCCAAAAAAAAAAAACACAAAAAAAACGACACUUUUCAUACAAUAUUGCCCCACAGAUGCCCAAAUUGUAAAAUAAAAAAAAAUAAAAAUUUAAAACUAACAAAAGCAGAUAUCUUUCUUAUCGCCCCUUCAUAAGCGCUCCUCAUUAGGGUAGUUAGUGAGAAUCUGUGGUAAAGCAUGAACCUUUCACUUAAAAAAUUAUAAUUCUAAUGAAGCCGCAAUUACCGGCCACUCUCUCGUAAGAUCCCUCUAUAGUAGGGCUGUCAUACGUCCUGGUUUUGCACGAAUUGUCCUGGUGUCCUGGUCAACCCUUAAAUUGUCCUGGUCUACUGUCAAAUUGUCAUGUAUGUGAAUAAAUAAAAUGAAAAAAAGCUUUUCUUUUUUCAGAUUAUUGUUAGAGCGGAUUCACACUUGUCAAGUACUUGAAAGCAAGAGAAAUUUCCCCUGCUUCUCACCCCUCUCAUCCUAUGCGAGCAGAGUUGCUUUCAAGUACUUGACAAGUGUAAGUCCGCUAUUAUGAAAAAAUGUUCAUCGCUAGUUUAAUCGAAAAUCGAUAAUAAAAUUUGUUUCUUCUCUACCAUAUUGAACAUAUGAUUUAUGCAUUGCUGAUGAACGUGGAUUUGUAUCGCUCCAAAUGCACAACAGCUGAAUGGUCGUAUAUGAAAAAAGGAACAACUGAUGACACUAUGUGGAUUUGACAUUAACAUUGCAAAUGGAGGAAAGUCAAGCAUUCAAGAUCAUGUAAAAAGUGCUUAGUGCUUUCAAAAAUAACAAUUGCUUCAUGUUCAAAAGAUAUUAGUACUUUUAUGGUGAAGAAGAAUACACAACUUGAGCAUUUGAUAAAGGUUGCUGAAAUCACAAGCGCCUACAGAAUUGUAAAUCAUCAUCAAUCAUUUAGCUCAUUGGAUUGUACCACAAAACUGGAUGCCGUAUUAUAUCCAGAUUCAAAAAUCGCCGCAAAACAGUCGAACGCCAGAACAAAAGCAACAGCCAUCAUAAAGAAUGUUUUGGCAUCACAUUCAGUUACGGAAUUCACUAAAAUACUAAAAGAUCAUGUUCCAUUCUUUGGAAUAUCUACCGAUUCGAGCAAUCACAAAGCACAGAAAAUGUUCCCCCUGAUAAUUCAUUAUUUUACGGAGAAAGGGUUGGAAAUAAAAUUAUUAAAAAUACAGUCAUUGCCAAAUGAAACAUCCGAAACAAUAACAACAUACUGCAUCGAUGCACUAAAAACAGCUGAUAUUCCACUAAAAAAUCUUACGGCUUUUGGUGCAGACAAAACAAACGCGAAUUUUUAGGGCAGACAAAGGAAUGGCGUAACUAACGUUUUUUACAAGUUGAAAUCUGAAUUGGGUCGAGAAAUAGACGGCAUUGGUUGCUCUGCUCAUAUCCUCCACAACACUAUUUCACAUGCUACAGAUGUACUGUCAAUCGACAUUGAAUCUGUUGUUUUGAAGAUAUAUAAAUAUUUCUGCAUCUUCACGGUUAGAACUGAACGAUUGAAACAGUUUUGUGAAAACGCCCAGGUAAUAUUUAACGAAAUACUCUCCCAUAUUACAGCUUUGGAUACCGCUCAAAGAAUUCUUUAAGGUUGAAAAAGGAGCAGCGAAAGUAAUUACUGACUUUUUUUAAAAAUCCGUUCAUACACAGCCAAGCAUUUGUAAUUGAGAAACAAAUCAAAAAAAAUUGAAAAGCGAAAUAUUUCAGUUAUAGAAGUUCAAUUAAUUUUAAGUGAAACUAUAUGUGAUAUGAAAGACAGAUUUGAAAACAAUUUUAUUGGAAUUCAAACACAAACUGUUUUGAAUAAUUUAAAGAACAGAUGUUUGAAUGAUAAAAUUUCUGAUUUUGAAAAUGACGUUAAAACUAUUUUUACGACUUCAAUUAACUACUUAGAGGAUUGGGUGGUUCCCUUAAAAAAGUAUGCAAUUUUUAAUUGGAUGACAUUAAAAAAUAUACCUGAAUGGACUGACGUUCAAAAAACGAUAACUUAUUUACAAGAAAAAAAUAUUAUUUUGUCUGAUGAAUCCUUCCAUGAAGUUUCAUAUCUUAAGUCAUUUUUAGAGAUAAAUAAAGAAUAUCUAAAGGAUAAGGAUACAAUUAAAAAAAGCGAAAAGAAAAUUUGUUAAAGAUAGUACAAUAUUUAUACGCAAUGCCCAGUCAUAAUGCUUACGUAGAACGUAUUUUUUCAUUAAUAAGUUCACAAUGGACCAAAGAAAGAAAUUCUUUACAUUAGAAUGUAUCAUUCAAUGUAAGUUUAAUUUUAAUUUGACAUGCUAUGAAUUUUACAACUAUAUCAAAGAAAAAACUGAAGUUUUGCGCAAAGUUCAAAGUUCAGAGAAAUACUAAGACUUAUAAUGUUAAAAUGAAUAGUCUUUUUUUCGAACACAUGUUUAAGUGAACUGUUAAUUUUUUUUCAAAUAAAUGUUUGAUAAAUUUAUCAGUAAAAAAAUUUUUGGUUUUUUUUUAUGAGUGGGAAAUUUUUGGGUAAAGUGUCCUGGUGAGCGGAGUCAGAGUUACGACAGCCCUACUCUAUUGGCACAGCCCUAACUCCAGGGCUAGGGAGUACCCAUUCUGGCCGUAUCUGAGUCAGCCCGUAUCAUAUGCCAAGAAUAAAUUAAAUGCAAACAAUUGCCGAUAAUACAGAAAGGGCAAAUACUAUGCAACCGGUAUGUCAAAACGAUAAAAUAAUAAAUUGUAAAUAACCACUAGUAAAUUAAAUAAAAUCAAAACAAUUUUACAAAUUUACUAUAAUAAUAAGUCGUCAAAACACGCAAAAGGAAAUUACUACCUCAACUUACAUAAAACACAAUUUUCUAUUAAAACCAAAAUCGGUUCUUACAGCUAAUAUUCUGCGGACUCGGCUACUUCACCAACAGUAAGCCGAAUUACAUGUCUCAGAUUAUAUAUAUAAAACUAGGCAAAAUAUUCGCUUAGGGGGCCCAGGAUGUUUAAAUGAGUUAAGCAUCCACCCACUUUACCCGAAAAAACUGGCGCACACUAAUAAGACAGCUUAAUUCACCACAGCUGAUGACUCUAUAUCACACCACAAUUGAGAACAUCACCCACCAAGCGGCCACCACACUUUAUAAUACAAUACCACUCAACACAACUCACCACAAUUCUACAUCAAUCAACCCACUCAACAAAAAGGGUAGCGGACACAAUUCGUCAGUCACUCGUCGCAUAUCCACAUACAAUUCGCACGUUAACAAUUCGACCCAUACAAUUCGAUAAACCACAUUCGUCUACAACACUUCGGCUCUAUACUGCGCUGUGAGCAGCUUUCGUUCGUGCAACUCUUGCGCACUGGGAUUAUUGAAACUUCUCCUACUCUGAUCACUCAGCGGUCCGGUUACGCAUAUAUGGGAAGUUGCACUGUGGGUAAAAGUGCCUAACAAUUUUAAGUUUCUUUGUAACUACUAUAAAUUUUUAAAAUGUAAGACAACAAAAAGUAUAAUAAAUAUUUGAUUUUAGUAAUCAUUUUUUUUAAUAUGUCUUUAUAUCAGCAUUUAAAAUAUAUAAAUCUGGUUUAAUCUCAUUUGCUAUAGCUCCACGCAUUAUUGUACCAAGUACCAAAAUUUAAAUCAGAUAACCUACUUCUUAUUUUAUAUAUAAUUUUCGAAGCAAAAAGUUUCAAACCAGGUUAUUUCUUAAAACUUCGUUAUAAAAAGUAAUUUCAAUAAUAACUUCAGUUUAUGAACCACUGUUUCUUCAAACACAUAUGAUCAAAUGAAUCUUAUGAGAGCGCAAUGUAAAUAAUCACCCAACGACCCUUCUACCACCCGCCAAUCCUAGAAUUUCCAACGACUCAGCUGAUUGCUCUCUCACACCGCAGGGUUGCCAGGCUCAAAAUAUUGUAGUAAUUAUAAAAAUUGUCUUCAAUAUAUUUGAAAUUUUCUUAAAAUAACUCAAAUUCAGAAUCGAAUGCUAUUAUUUACAAAUAUAUAAACUAGUUUUAAUAGUUUGAUUUCAGUUUUGAUAUUUUUUAUUAUGAAAAAUUAUAAUUGAAAAUUUAGAUGUGUACAAAACUACAUAUGCGUAUUGAGUAAUGGCAACAUUGUUUGAAUGAAAACGAGAACAAAACGCUUGCCGCUCGUGGCGAAGUGAGAAGAUGUUUCUGCCAUUAGCGUUUGUAUUCUAUUUGUGUGCUUAGCCACUCUUAAUCAAUAAUGCCAUACCGCGCAAAUAUAUUUUUAUUUUAUGAUUUCUUAUAUUUUUGAAAAUAUGUGCUCCCUUUCUACAACGCAUAUUAUUAUUUUAAUACAUUUCCAGAGGCAACUUAGAUUUUUAAAAUUUAACAAAAUAAUUGUAGAAAAAAACCUCAAUUCUUUGAAUAUUUUGAUAAAACAACCAAACUGAAAAUAUCACAAAUCAUAUAUUUAUAUUAGCACUAGAGGACCCGUCCACGCUUCACUGUGGCUGAUACAUAAAUAAUACUACUACUACCAUCUAUAUGAUUUCUAUUAGUUGGAUUAUUACUAUUAGUUAAUGAGAUAUAGCAUUUUUCUGAAGCAACUUGUGUUAGUUUAAAAAAAUCGAUCAUAAAGCAUUUCAUGUGUCAAUAAAGCAUUGUUUUUUUGUGAAAAAUACUGUUGAAUUUGGGCUCAGGGAAAUCCACCGUUGAGUUGCAAAGUAGGUGCUCGCAAGUUCAUAAUCCAACAAAAACAACUAAUUCUGAGAAGUGUUUAAGUACUGUCUAAUCGCAAUAAAUAAAGAAAUAUAGCUCCAUCAUUUUCCACUGGAGUCCAAUCCUCAGUAUAUACAGUAGACAACCUUUGCUUUGUUUACAUACUUAUACUCACCUCUAUCAAAUCUUAGGGUUUUGUGUAACACUUUUUUUGCUACUUUCAUGGUAAUCAGGGUGUUGUGUUAGCAUUUGAGCUACAUAUAAAUUUUAAAUUUUGAUCAUCACCACUUUAAAAUAUAUUAAAUAAUGCAAGUGUUUACGUUAUUUAAGUGAUUAUAUUGAAUUACUUUGAGUAUCUGUUCAAUUUUAUUGGGAUAUUACUUGUUGUUUAAUGUUAAAUCAGUUAUUUUUUUGUGUGCAAUUUUAAAACAUGCUUCAAGUAUUUCUAUAUUUUUGCAUGCAGUAGGAUACAAUCCUGGGUGGUAAUUUGUCGUUUGACAUAUGUAUACAAAGUGACAAUUAGAAAAAUAUCAAUUACAAAGUGAUUUAUUGUUUAUUAUUAUUAUUAUAUUUAGUGUGUAUUUUAUAAUAUAUAUAUUUUGUAUAAGUGUUUUUGCUGAAAAGCAAGAUAAAGGUAAGGUCUAUAAAUAUAUCAGAAAUAUGUUGAAGUUUUUAAUAAGUUUGUGUUUACAGAAGAAUGCCGAAAUCAUGUGUAUGUAGAUGCGCAGGAGCUGAAUCCUUCUACAAAUUCCCAUCGGAACGAGAAUUAGCAAGGUAUGAAUUUAUUUUGGAAUAUAUGUUAGAUAUUUUAAUAAUACUUGGGUGAAUUUAUAUAUAUAUAACAUUCAUCAAAUAUUUAAAGAGCUAUACCAGUGUUACGAGUGGAAAGUUAGGCGAAUUUCGUGAUUUUUUUUUUUUUAAAUACUCCAUCGAAUAUUUCGAAGUUCUUUGGACAGAAUAAGGUACAUUUUCGGCUAUAUUUGAAGUUUUUUUUUACAAAAAUAUUUAAAAAUAACGAAAUUAUGUGCUGUCUUCGGAGGUUCCGAAAAAAGUGUCUUUUUUUUAUGUAAACAGUUGUCGUUUUUUUAAUGGCAAAUUGACAAUUUUCAACCAAUCAAGAAGAUCGUAGGUUAUUGUAUGGUAAAUAAUAUACUAUAGAAUACUCAGUUUCAACUAUAAAAAAAAAUAAUAAAAACCGGUUUUUUGAAAGUGUCACACUGGUAUAGCCCCUUUAAUGCUAUUGUUCAUAAAUGUGUGCAUUAUAAAAAUUUAAAAUAUCUUUUUUUAUUAAUUCAAAACCAUUUUUUUUGCCACAUGUGUAUUAU